rnacentral:rRNA from 1 species
AUACCGCGUGUGUGAAGAAGGCCUGAGGGUUGUAAAGCACUUUCAAUAGGAAGGAAUACCUAUCGGUUAAUACCCGGUAGACUGACAUUACCUAUACAAGAAGCACCGGCUAACUCCGUGCCAGCAGCCGCGGUAAUACGGAGGGUGCAAGCGUUAAUCGGAAUUACCGGGCGUAAAGCGUGCGUAGGCGGUUAUUUAAGUCAGAUGUGAAAGCCCUGGGCUUAACCUGGGAACUGCAUNUGAUACUGGGAUGACUAGAGUUGAGUAGAGGAGAGUGGAAUUUCAGGUGCAGCGGUGAAAUGCGUAGAGAUCUGAAGGAACAACCAUGGCGAAGGCGGGUCUCUUGGACUCAAACUGACGCUG